rnacentral:miRNA from 1 species
UUGGCUCUGCAAGGUCGGCUCA